GACGAACGCUGGCGGCGUGCUUAACACAUGCAAGUCGAACGGAAAGACCCUGCUUUUGUGGGGUUCUCGAGUGGCGAACGGGUGAGUAACACGUGAGUAACCUGCCCUUGACUUUGGGAUAACUUCAGGAAACUGGGGCUAAUAUCGGAUAGGAGCUCCUGAUGCAUGGUGGGGGUUGGAAAGUUUCGGCGGUUGGGGAUGGACUCGCGGCUUAUGAGCUUGUUGGUGGGGUAGUGGCUGACCAAGGCUGUGACGGAUAGCCGGCCUUAGAGGGUGAACGGGCACAAGAGGACUGCGAGACGGACCAGACGCCUACGUGAGGCAGUAGUGGGGAAUAUUGCAGAGCGGGCGGAAGUCAGAUGCAGCAACGCCGCGUGCGGGAAGACGGCCUUCGGGUUGUAAACAGCUUUGGACGUAGACGAAGAGGGCGUGACGGUAAUGGGUAAAGAAGCACCGGCUAACUACGUG
rnacentral:rRNA from 1 species